GCAGGUUACACGGCGCUGCUGCUGGACAUUAUAGGAAACUCAUCGAGCUCACUCAAAGAACUCUUCAAGUCAACAUCAAUUGUAUCAGUAAGCCAGAGUAAUGAAUCCGACUGCAUCUACUUCUGUGUUAUGACGGGCAGAACAGGGAGGAAUUUAUCUGAUAUAUGGGAUGUGACAAAGAAGUCUCCCGUUGUAAAUGUUACCUACCCCAGGAACGAAUCCAUAAUUUUGG